rnacentral:misc_RNA from 1 species
CCAAUAGCGUAUAUUAAAGUUGUUGCAGUUAAAAAGCUCGUAGUUGAAUUUCGAGAUUGGCUUACUGGUCGUGCUUUUGUACGUACUGGUAAAUCGGUUUCUCCUUUCUGACGAACUUUAAUGCCCUUAAUUUGGUGUUUUAGGGAAUCAGGACUGUUACUUUGAAAAAAUUAGAGUGUUUAAAGCAGGCUCACGCUUGAAUACAUUAGCAUGGAAUAACGGAAUAGGACGUUUGAUUCUAUUUUGUUGGUUUCUAGGAUAGACGUAAUGAUUAAUAGGGAUAUGUGGGGGCAUUAGUAUUCAAUUGUCAGAGGUGAAAUUCUUGGAUUUAUUGAAGACUAACUACUGCGAAAGCAUUUGCCAAGGAUGUUUUCAUUAAUCAAGAACGAAAGUUAGGGGAUCGAAGACGAUCAGAUACCGUCGUAGUCUUAACCAUAAACUAUGCCGACUAGGGAUCGGAUGAUGUUAAUUUUUUAAUGACUCAUUCGGCGCCUUACG